GACAGAGGGGGCAAGCGUUGCUCGGAAUUACUGGGCGUAAAGGGCGCGUAGGCGGGAUGGCAAGUCGGUCGUGAAAUCCCUCGGCUCAACUGAGGAACGUCGAUCGAUACUGCCGUUCUUGAGGAUUGCAGAGGAGACUGGAAUUCCCGGUGUAGCGGUGAAAUGUGUAGAGAUCGGGAGGAACACCGGUGGCGAAGGCGGGUCUCUGGGCAGUAGCUGACGCUGAUGCGCGACAGCGUGGGGAGCAAACAGG
rnacentral:rRNA from 1 species